AAACGUAGCAUAUUAUUUUCGGAACGUG
rnacentral:sRNA from 1 species